rnacentral:rRNA from 1 species
CCUACGGGAGGCAGCAGUGAGGAAUAUUGGUCAAUGGCCGGAAGGCUGAACCAGCCAUGCCGCGUGAAGGUCAGUGCCCUAUGGGCGUUAAACUUCUUUUGUGCGGGAGCAAUAAUGGACACGUGUGGCCAGACGAGAGUACCGUACGAAUAAGCAUCGGCUAACUCCGUGCCAGCCUCCGCGGUAAUACGGGGGAUGCCAGCGUUAUCCGGAUUUAUUGGGUUUAAAGGGUGCGUAGGCUGUGAGGUAAGUCAGCGGUGAAAUGCCCCCGCUCAACGGGGUGAAGUGCCAUUGAUAGUGCCUUGCUUGAAUGCGGAUGCCGUGGGAGGAAUGUGUGGUGUAGCGGUGAAAUGCAUAGAUAUCACACAGAACACCGAUUGCGAAGGCAUCUCACGAAUCCGCGAUUGACGCUGAUGCACGAAAGCGUGGGUAUCAAACAGGAUUAGAUACCCCAGUAGUC